rnacentral:rRNA from 1 species
UACGGAGGGUGCAAGCGUUGUUCGGAUUUACUGGGCGUAAAGCGCGCGCAGGUGGAUGGACAAGUCGGAAGUGAAAUCUUGAGGCUCAACCUCGAGGCUGCUCCCGAAACUGUUCGUCUAGGGACUGGUAGAGGCUGGUAGAAUUCCCGGUGUAGCGGUGGAAUGCGUAGAGAUCGGGAAGAAUACCCGUGGCGAAGGCGGCAUCCUGGACCGACACUGACGCUGAGGAGCGAAAGCCAGGGGAGCAAAGC